UACGUAGGGGGCAAGCGUUGUCCGGAUUUAUUGGGCGUAAAGAGCGUGUAGGCGGUUUGGUAGGUCCGUUGUGAAAACUCGAGGCUCAACCUCGAGACGUCGGUUGAAACCAUCUGGCUAGAGUCCGGAAGAGGAGAGUGGAAUUCCCGGUGUAGCGGUGAAAUGCGCAGAUAUCGGGGAAGAACACCCGUGGCGAAGGCGGCUCUCUGGGACGGUACUGACGCUGAGACGCGAAAGCGUGGGGAGCGAACAGG
rnacentral:rRNA from 1 species